CUACGGGGGGCUGCAGUAGGGAAUAUUGGGCAAUGGGCGAAAGCCUGACCCAGCCAUGCCGCGUGCAGGAAGACGGCCCUCUGGGUUGUAAACUGCUUUUGAAUGGGAAGAAAGGUAUGCUUGCGAGCGUAAUUGACGGUACCAUUAGAAUAAGCCACGGCUAACUACGUGCCAGCAGCCGCGGUAAUACGUAGGUGGCGAGCGUUAUCCGGAUUUAUUGGGUUUAAAGGGUGCGUAGGCGGCUUUUUAAGUCGGUGGUUAAAGGUAGCAGCUCAACUGUUUUACAUGCUGCCGAUACUGAAGGGCUUGAGUUAUUGGAAGGCAGAUGGAAUUCCUGGUGUAGCGGUGAAAUGCAUAGAUACCAGGAGGAACACCGAUUGCGAAGGCAUUCUGCUGCAAAUAUACUGACGCUGAGGCACGAAAGCGUGGGGAUCAAACAGGAUUAGAUACCCUAGUAGUC
rnacentral:rRNA from 1 species